AGGGCUCGCAACUGCGCGCGCUGUCGGCUGCUGGGCGCCAGGCGGAUGUCCCUGCGAGUGCUUUCCGCGGCGCCGCGCGUGCAGCCCGGGUCUCACCCUGGCUUGCUGCCCACUGGGAGCCCUUGGGCAGUGCAUGGUUUCUUUCCGAAGCUCCCUGGGCGUCUGUCCCGGGGGGCCAUGUGAUUGCUGUGCCUUUUUAAUCUCCAUUGUUCGGAAAGUCUGGAAACACAUCCCUGUGUCCGCUUGACCCGAUGACUAAAAAUAAUGAGAAUUCUGAAGAAGAGGGAAUGGCCCACAGCCUAGGCCUCUCCCCGACACGUGGGAGUUACUCAGCACGCUCCCAUGGGGUGGUCUGGCCGGGGCGACGGGACGUAAGCCUCAGCUGCGAAGAAAAGCUGUUGCCAUGGAGUUUCGGGCUCCCGAACACCCGAGCGACGCUAGCGUGGUCCCGCCUUGCGGCAGGUGCGGCUUGGUCCGCCGGCUCAGCUCCCUUGGGGGUUGUUUCCAGACGCACGUUCCGGGAAGACCCCUGGUGUCGGCUGGGGGCGACCAGAGCCCGUAGGCGCCCGGGAUUCGCUCACAUUCACCAAGGGAAGAAAUUUAGACUUGACCGUUCCACAAGAGAUUAUACAUGCAGUUGCUGAGAUAAAUCCACAAAUUAAAAGAUAACAUUCACCUCGGUGAUCACUGGACCAUAAAGGUUGUGGUGGACUAAGAAUACGCAG
rnacentral:lncRNA from 10 species